GGGGCUGGCUUGGAAACAUCGAUAGCGCUCGCUCAUCGACUACUAACGUUGUCGCGGGCGUGGCGUGAUCGAUGUUCGAUCUCUCGUGCGCGGAAUGCCCAUCGGCGCGGUGGUUCACCGAACCCCGCUAAAUAGACCCUCGAUGAAAAGUCGUCCGAUGCAAUCUUGAGCGACCAUCGUACCUGCGAAUGUGUUUGCCGCCGAGAAGGCGCAGCGCAUGCAGUGCCGAUGUCGUACGGGAACGCUACCUGGUUGAUCCUGCCAGUAGUCAUAUGCUUGUCUCAAAGAUUAAGCC
rnacentral:misc_RNA from 1 species